rnacentral:rRNA from 1 species
CCGAUAUCGGAUUAGCUAGUUGGUGGGGUAAUGGCCUACCAAGGCCGCGAUCCGUAGCUGGUUUGAGAGGACGACCAGCCACACUGGGACUGAGACACGGCCCAGACUCCUACGGGAGGCAGCAGUGGGGAAUUUUGGACAAUGGGGGGAACCCUGAUCCAGCCAUCCCGCGUGUGCGAUGAAGGCCUUCGGGUUGUAAAGCACUUUUGUCAGGGAAGAAAAGACUAUCGAUAAUACCGGUGGUCGAUGACGGUACCUGAAGAAUAAGCACCGGCUAACUACGUGCCAGCAGCCGCGGUAAUACGUAGGGUGCAAGCGUUAAUCGGAAUUACUGGGCGUAAAGCGUGCGCAGGCGGUUCGGAAAGAAGGAUGUGAAAUCCCAGGGCUCAACCUUGGAACUGCAUUCUUAACUACCGGACUAGAGUAUGUCAGAGGGGGGUAGAAUUCCGCGUGUAGCAGUGAAAUGCGUAGAUAUGCGGAGGAAUACCGAUGGCGAAGGCAGCCCCCUGGGAUAAUACUGACGCUCAUGCACGAAAGCGUGGGUAGCAAACAGGAUUAGAUACCCUGGUAGUCCACGCCCUAAACGAUGUCAACUAGCUGUUGGGCCCCUCGGGGCUUAGUAGCGUAGCUAACGCGUGAAGUUGACCGCCUGGGGAGUACGGUCGCAAGAUUAAAACUCAAAGGAAAUUGACGGGGACCCGCACAAGCGGUGGAUGAUGUGGAUUAAUUCGAUGCAACGCGAAAAACCUUACCUACCCUUGACAUGUCUGGAAUCCUUUAGAGAUAGAGGAGUGCUCGCAAGAAGAACCGGAAC